AUUGAACGCUGGCGGCAUGCCUUACACAUGCAAGUCGAACGGCAGCACGGGUGCUUGCACCUGGUGGCGAGUGGCGAACGGGUGAGUAAUAUAUCGGAACGUACCUUAUUGUGGGGGAUAACGCAGCGAAAGCUGUGCUAAUACCGCAUAAUCCCUAAGGGGGAAAGCGGGGGACCGUAAGGCCUCGGCGAAUUAGAGCGGCCGAUACCUGGUUAGCUAGUUGGUGAGGUACAGGCUCACCAAGGCGACGAUCAGUAGCUGGUCUGAGAGGACGAUCAGCCACACUGGGACUGAGACACGGCCCAGACUCCUACGGGAGGCAGCAGUGGGGAAUUUUGGACAAUGGGGGCAACCCUGAUCCAGCAAUGCCGCGUGAGUGAAGAAGGCCUUCGGGUUGUAAAGCUCUUUUGUCAGGGAAGAAACACCGGCUCUAACACAGUCUGGGAAUGACGGUACCUGAAGAAUAAGCACCGGCUAACUACGUGCCAGCAGCCGCCGUAA
rnacentral:rRNA from 1 species